CCUUAACACAGGGCAGAAACCACAGCACGCCGUCUGGCUUGAAGAGCCCUAGAGACACUCCGCCAGCCCAUGUGGGUCCUGUGUCAGGUGAAAAGAAUUUGACGCCUAGAGAGGGCAGCGGCGGGACUGCCAAGAUGCAUGUGGCAAGCAGCCCAUCUGUGCCGGUGUACCCCGAGGAUGACAAACAGGAGGACGCUUACUUCAGCUUCCGGGCAGACGCCCUGCAG
rnacentral:lncRNA from 1 species